rnacentral:tRNA from 1 species
GUUCCCUUCGUCUAAAGGUAGGACGUCGCCCUUUCACGGCGAAAACAAGGGUUCGAAUCCCUUAGGGAAUA